UGGCUCUGAGCUACCUUUAUAGCUCCCCUGACUGGGUCCCAAAAGUUUCACAAAUAGUACUGUUUUGCUCUGUCAUUCUAACCUCUAAAGGUUAGAGGCUUGUUUCUUAUCUCAGACAUACUGGUGUAAAUCUAUUUGGUAUUUAUGCUGAUUUAAGCUAAGUUACUCCAUAUACCCCACAGAGUUUUUGCCUUUCAGACUUCUGCGAGCAGUAAAUACAUCAUCUGAAGAGGCUUUGGAUACAUUAUAAGGAAGAAAAUAUGGAUAGCUGUUGUGACCUGCACAAGAUGUGCCAUGUUUAUCUUUCUCCUGGGGGGAUAGAAGCGACUUCAUCUGUACAAAGUGCAAGCUGGUCUCCAUACUGGAAGAAAAGGUUAAAGGAUUAGAGACCCAAGUAUUGACCCUGCAUUGAAUCAGAGAAAAUGAAGACUUGAUGUAAAUGAAGAAAAUGAAGUCAGGAUUUGGUACUGCGGGCACAGCAUGCCAAAGAAUCAUAGAGGGCAUCACAGGGGAGACUGAAGAAUAGGGAAGAAAACUGGCAGCGUCUGACCUCCAGAGGGAGGAGGUGGAGAACCAAUAGAGUGUGUGGAUGACCAGUUUGUUGAGAUUUCAUGGAAAACUAAAUUUCUGGAUUGUAAAAUAAUCUGGAACAGAAUGACAAAAAUUUCCCCUGAAAAAAAAAUCACAAUUUUUUGCAUGGAUCAACUGAACUCUGUAUCUGCUUGCUAGUCCACUGCAACCUGUGAAUGUAAUGAGUUUCCAAAAUUGUGCAUGCAUAUUUAACUAACAUGCAUAUUUUGCAAAAGUGUUUGAGUGAUGACAUUAAAUUGAUUGAUUAAAUUGAUUUGCUAAAGUAUUUGAAUAUUUAAAUGUACAUUAAUGUUUUAGUUUAUCUGAGAAUGUUAAGUGAUAUUUUACCCUUUAUGUUCCCCAGAAAUGAUGGUACAGAGCCAAAUUCUGCUUGCAGUUAGAUAGGCAGGAAUCUCUGGAAGUCAGUGAAGUUAGUCUGAUUGCACACCCAUUUAACAGAGCAUAGAAUUUGACAUACCACUUCCCCUGAUAUAUGGGCAUCAGUUUUGGGUGAAGGUGAAGGUGCAUGAACCAGAACAUCAGCUUUGCACCAGCUGAGAGCUUCUCCCAAAUAUUUUCUGUUCUGUCUGCACCACUAUAGAGCCUAAAGAGGUUUUCUAAUGGCCACUGAUUUUGGAUGCCUGGCUUGAGACACCUUGGGCUUAAAGACUUGAGGUACUGAGCAGAGAAAACUAUAACUGACGUCAAUGUGAGUUGCAGGUACUCAGCAUCUCUGAAAACACACAGAUUUUUAAAGCGAGAAAGGGUACUGAGAUGAUCUAAACGGAUGUUCUUCAUAGAAUAGGCCACAGAAUGUCACCCAAUAACUCCUGCAUCAGGCCCAAUGAUGUCUGGUUGAAUUACAGUAUUAUAUUUUUAAAAUAUCCAAUUUGACUUAAAGAUCUCAAGUGAUGGAGAAUCCAUCCAGUCCCUUAGUAAUUUGUUCCAAUGGUUAAUUAUCUUAUUAACAUUUUGUAUCUUAUUUCUAGUCUGAAUUUAUCUAGCUUCAACUGCCAGCCAUUGAGUCUUGUUAUUGCCUUUGCCUACUAGUUUAAGGUGCCCUCAGAAAUCAUCUCACCAUGUAGAUACUUAUGUGGGUGAGCAGGGAUCAGAGUUUACAUCGCACCCAACCCAGGGAAGAAAAUGAUCCAACCAGCAGACCAAAUUCGGUGAUGUAUCCUGGUCAUAUGCCAUCUGAGGCAUGUUGCACAUAUGCUAAGAAGAAGAUGAUACUUACAUACCAUUAUCAAGUCACCUAUUAAGCUCUCCUUCAAAACUAAGCUAAACAGAUUGAUCACCUUACAUCUCUCAUGGUGAGGCAUCUUUUCCAGUCCUCAAAAUGUUUCUUGACAGGCAUUCAAAAUCGGUGGCCAUUUU